AGCUUUGUGCAGGGGCAGUAUCAUAGCCAAUGAGGUUUAUCCAAGGUGCGAUUAUAGCUAAUUGAAAAUAAAGUUAAAAAAAAAAAAAACUCUUCCAUGUUCAUUGGUUUUGUGUUUUAGAAAAAGCUGGAUGUGGCAGCAGCUA